GUUAAGUGGGGAUAUGGUAAGUGGCAUGAAGUGGCGUGACAACAAGACAAACAGCUAUGUUCCAUAUUUCUAGGUGGAUGAUUGGAGAUGACCACCAGCAGAUACUUUACCACAAUGUAGAUUGCUAGUGGCCCUUAAGGUAUGAAAAGUUGAAAUGAGACAAGAUAUGAAUAUGCACAAUGGAACAAAGAACCUAGCUGAGCCUUAAUGUAACCUUCUCAAGGCUGUGUAAUUCAGGACUACAGAUGACUAUGAUGUGAGAUAGAUAUACAAGCAACAAAUGUGGUUGCUCUUAAGCUACAUGGAUACUAGGCAAUGACUUCUGUGCAUGGUGUUGAUCAAAUUGUUUGGGGCACAGUACAGAGCGGAAGGCAAAGUGAACUAGUUGGAUGAUUUCUGCAUUUUUGUAAAAAGUUCCAUUGGUUGACUUUGGGUCAACUAAGACUCUCUAAUUAGGUUCGGGCUAGAUACUUUGCCUUUCCAGAUUUGGGAAAGAGUUCUUCAGAGAGAAGGGCUUGUUGGACCUGACGGAUCUGGAGGGAUUUUGCCAAACAGGCCCUUGAACUAGACGGUAAGGAAUGGAGACUAUUAGGAGGUGAGGAUAGGCCAAGUUUCUACCUGAGAAUUAAAAGUUUUCCAGUAUUACUUGUUAAUUAAGGAGUAACUAAGUGUAAUUCCCUCUGCUUUACAGGAUUAAAUUUAUAGUAACUUGAAAUAAUAUGAAAUAAAGAGAUUAAAAGAAAUUAAGAAUGUCGGUUAUGAUUAUGGAAUUCUGAAAUCAAACAUAGUUUAUGAUUGUUUUGUGCUGCAUUUAAGAAUACUAGAUGAAGUUGCAAGCAAUAUAAUACUCUGUAGUAAAUCAAAAGAAAUAAUGUCAAUUUAGUCCUAAUCUUUCAUCAAAUGCUAAUAUAAUUGGUUUGACUAGCUUCAAUCUUUUGAAUGAAAGGAUUCUCUACUUCGACCUCUGCUGCUUAGAUAUCCAUUCAUAUAUACUGCAUGUAUCUAUUCACCAUACUCAAGCAUGCUGGAAUCUCAUCAGCUUACAUGUGUUGAUGAUUUUGAAACUGCUAUUGGCAAGCACCUAGAACAAUAUAUUACUUUGCAUGGCUCCUAAAAUCAUAUGACAAAAUUAUUUACAGAAUAUUAUAAUGGUGAUUUACAUUGAACUGCUUGUUGGUGUUGUAGCUGUGGCUGGCGAGCACUUAUCGCACAAAACUGCAGGAAUCCUUUCAACAAUAUUUGACAUUGGAGGGGUAUUCGGUGGCAUUUCAGCAGGAUUCAUUUCGGAUAGUCUUGGUGUUCGUGCUCUGACUUCAGUUCUAUUCCUUAUGUUCUCAAUCCCAUCACUUAUUCUUUAUCGAAUAUAUGGAAGCGUAUCAAUGCACCUCAACAUCGGACUAAUGUUUCUAUCUGGCUACUUUGUAAAUGGCCCAUAUUCGCUUAUUACCACAGCUGUUGCAGCUGAUUUGGGUACUCAGGACACAAUUAAAGGCAAUUCACGAGCAUUAGCUACUGUAACAGCCAUUAUUGAUGGUACAGGUUCUGUUGGGGCAGCUUUGGGACCUUUACUUACAGGGUACAUUUCAACUCGGGGAUGGAACAGUGUUUUCUUGAUGUUAAUUUUUUCAACUUCUCUGGCAAUUAUGUUUUUGAUACACAUUGCAAAAGCUGAGGUUAUUAGCAAGAUGAGUGAGAGAACAUAGAUUAGGAUAACAAAAUGGAUUUGGUAUCAUGAAAACAGAAUGAAUUGAUAUGUUGGUAUCUGCUUUUUUUCUUGUUAAUUUUUUUCCAUUGUAUGGAAUGUAUAUGAAGUAUACUUGGUUUACUUUUUGAGAUUCCAAAGUACAUUUCUACCAUAAUGACAUGUUAUUGGAGUUGAGUGCAGCAUCAGAUUUGAGGAACUGACGAUUAUGCUACCUGACACAUCCUUCAUGGUGUGCUUGCAUAUCAGGCUAUUCAGUCUUGCGUCGUUGCUCGGAUCCUCACAGCAAUUCCAGAGAGGAUGUCAGGAUGGAGGUAUGUAUUUAGUUCAUUUGAGACUUCUCUGGUUAUGACCAUGGAAUUCCUUACAUCUCAAAUUGAUAUUUGUUUUCCAAGGGACAUUUUGUUGACAUACCGUCAAAUAUUUUUUCCAUUUCUAAUUGUCAACAUGUACUCAUCAAUUUGACUUCUGCUCCACUUAAAAUUGGGAUCAUCAUUUAUUAAUAAUUUCUGCACUUAAAUCUUUUUUUACCUUGAAAAAUGAGUAUCGGCUUGAGAUUUAUUAGUAAUUUCCGCACUUUAACUCUUGUGUAUAAGAUUUUCUUGUUUUUUAGCUGGUUUUGGUGCAGGGAAUAGGUGUUGCUUGCAUCAGGCCUGUUGAUCACCUCUGGUUACAGGCUGUCUUCUCGUAAUUCUGAGGUAGGACUCAGCUACAUUCUUAUGGGUCACAUUACAAAAUCUUUUUCUGUUUAUAUUGACAAUUGAACUAGAAGCUCACGUCCAACAAUGGUAAGCCAAAGAAAGUCCUCAGUUCAUGUUGAAGGUAAACAUUUUGUUUGUCAGGUGCUGUAUCAGGUUACCAUGUUAUAAAUGAUUUUUAAUGCAUAAACCUUUCCAAGAUGAUCUUUCUUCGUAAAUUCUCAGGUAAGUGGUUUAUUUCUUGCUUAAAUUUGAGGAUCUUUGAGCUGGAGAAGGGUUGAGUUGUAAAAAUGCAAGACUGUGUUUAGAUACCUACUACCAUUCCAGGAAAUUAUCAUUUUUGCUGUUGUUUCAUUUUCAAAUAUUGGAACAUCAUCCUUGUAAAAUCAAAAUAAUUGCAUAGCUUCAUGCAUUUCUAUGUCAGAAGCAUUUGCUUGUC